CCAAUCACACAGCGUGAAAGUCCGCCGCACGUUAGUUAACGUGGGUACUGUCGUUGAGAGGGAAGCUAGUUCUGGCCAGAAAUCAUUUUGUUUCUCAGGUUUCCUUUGUUUUACUUAACCGACUCGGACUUGGCAAAUAUGGACACCACAGACAUAAUAAGAAAAGAACACAGGAGAGAAGAAUAUCCGGUCAGCUCCCUGCAGAAGUUCAAUGUGAAAAUAGCUAAAGAGGCGUGCCUGACAAGUACAAGCAGGAGAGGACAGACGCGAGACUGCCAGCAAAAAUCGUCUUUCUUGGUUCCUUCCACAGAAGCUGGAGGAACUAUAAGGCAGAAGAUCUCAUACAUGAACCUACGCAGCAUCAGGGACUUCACAGAGUUUGGCAAAUAACUAGAUGGAGGUGUUUCUGGCUCUGGAGCUGUGGAGUCUGUAUCUGUGACUGUGGGUC